CAUUGUGGGAAGCCCCGCACACAGGAAGCGCUCCGGGCCGCCCGCCCUCGCCUGGCGCGGAGACCCGGCUGCGAGACCCAGCGUGGCUUUGAUUCCGGCGCCUGCGUGUCAGCAGCAGCGCGGCGUGGCCGGGGAAGCUGGCCCCGCGCCGCGGGUGCCCCUGAUGGGCCUGGAAGGAAGACGCUUUGGAAUAGAUCGGAGCUGAGCAAGCUCCUGGGAGGAACGGCCACCCCUUGAGGCUGGCUGGGUGCGUGCCUGGCGCCCCGAGAAUGUCACCUUUUCCGGAAGAUGCAACCCUGCACCCUUGAAACUAGAAAACCUUGUUGGAGUCUGCAAACCGAGAUGCAGGAUGUGGGCACCGAGAAAAAGCAAGAGAUCCCAGUCAGGACUUGGUUGGGCCCAAACCUCGUUCUGCGUGCCAACAAAGACUUGGUUAUGAUCUGUGCAGACCUAAGAUUGCUCACUUGUCCCGUCUUUUGGAGACCCUUUGGUGACCUUCAUUAAAUGGUGUCCUUUCUACUCUCUUAACUGACAUCAGGGCCCUGACUUGCCUAUACAAAGGGAUGGCAUACAAUUACUCACCUUUGUACUCACCCACUAGUACAAGGUCAGCUAGGUAAUCGUUCAACAGUCACCGAACGUAUUAGGUUAUCAGGAACUUUCUGAGAUGGAGUCCCUUCAAUAUGAUUUCUUCAUUAAUCUCAAGGCUUUAUUUAGCACCUCUCUGCAAUACUUAAACAUAACCUUUGAGGUGAGAGGGAAAGGACAUUAAAAUAGCUACAUAACCA